AAUUAAAUUAUAUUUAUUGUAUUGGUUUUUCACUUAUUAUUUGUAUUACAAUAAGAGGAAAACGGCAUUUUUCUCUCAUUGCAACAUCGGUAAUAGCUUGAAAUGGUAACUUUUGUAUUUAUGGUACCAAUAGUGAUACUUUUGUACCACUGUUAAUAAUUCUUAAACUUGAUGUUCAUAUUUAUCAUUGAAUAUUUAUACGUUUUCCCCCCCUUAUAGUUAUUCUUAUCUCAGUGAUGUGGCCAAAAAUAUAUUUCUCUAUCUUAUAAACCAGGAUGCAGAUGAACGGAAGUUUCAUGAAUUUCCUGCGCUGAAAUUCGAUGCUGAAUCAGUGCAACAGCUGUUGUUGAAGUUUGCGAAGAAACCAUCUUUACGAAAGAAAAAUUUGAAAGUUAUUUACAAUAUAGUAAAACAGUUUGAAGAUUUCAAAAAUGGUGUCUGCUUAGCAGAUAAAAUUUUUGAAGACCAAAGUCCAGGCUCUAAAUUGCGAAAACGUGAUAUUGAGAGAGCAGCAUUAAAUCUCAUAGAAGAAAAAGAGGAUUAUUUAAAUGAAAAGAUGAAGUUUAAAAAACAGAAAACCAAACAGAGUACUGAUUGAUAAAAAAUAGGGAAAAAAUUGUAUUAUAUGUAUAUAACUCAUAAGAAUAAAUUAUUUUUUUGAUGUCAGUUA